AUUGAACGCUGGCGGCAGGCCUAACACAUGCAAGUCGAACGGUAACAGGAAACAGCUUGCUGUUUCGCUGACGAGUGGCGGACGGGUGAGUAAUGUCUGGGAAACUGCCCGAUGGAGGGGGAUAACUACUGGAAACGGUAGCUAAUACCGCAUAACGUCGCAAGACCAAAGAGGGGGACCCCCUGGCCCCUUGCCAUCGGAUGUGCCCAGAUGGGAUUAGCUUGUUGGUGGGGUAACGGCUCACCAAGGCGACGAUCCCUAGCUGGUCUGAGAGGAUGACCAGCCACACUGGAACUGAGACACGGUCCAGACUCCUACGGGAGGCAGCAGUGGGGAAUAUUGCACAAUGGGCGCAAGCCUGAUGCAGCCAUGCCGCGUGUAUGAAGAAGGCCUUCGGGUUGUAAAGUACUUUCAGCGGGGAGGAAGGGAGUAAAGUUAAUACCUUUGCUCAUUGACGUUACCCGCAGAAGAAGCACCGGCUAACUCCGUG
rnacentral:rRNA from 1 species